rnacentral:rRNA from 1 species
GAACGCUGGCGGCGUGCUUAACACAUGCAAGUCGAAUGUGAAAAUCCUUCGGGAUGAGUAAAAUGGCAAACGGGUGAGUAACGCGCGGAAAUCUACCUUUUAGUGGAGAAUAUACCUGAGAAAUUGGGGGCAAUACUGCAUAAUAUUUCGAAAGAAAUCAAAGACGGCCUCUUGCUGUCGCUAAAAGAUGAGUCCGCGUACUAUUAGCUAGUUGGUGGGGUAAAUGCCUACCAAGGCGAUGAUGGUUAGCCGACCUGAGAGGGUGAUCGGCCACAUUGGGAUUGAGAUAAGGCCCUGACUCCUACGGGAGGCAGCAGUGGGGAAUAUUGCGCAAUGGACGAAAGUCUGACGCAGCAACGCCGCGUGGAGGAUGAAGGUCUUCGGAUCGUAAACUUCUGUUAAUCGGAAAGAAAUGGCAAGGGGUAAUAUACCUUGCAGAUGACGUUACCGGUAGAUUAAGCCCCGGCUAACUUCGUGCCAGCAGCCGCGGUAAUACGAGGGGGGCGAGCGUUAUUCGGAAUUAUUGGGCGUAAAGGGCGUGUAGGUGGUGUGAUAAGUUUUUUGUUUAAUUCUCUGGCCUAACCAGAGUAUGCAGGAAAGACUGUCAUGCUAGAGUGUGAUAGAGGAAAGUGGAAUUCUCGGAGUAGCGGUUAAAUGCGUAGAUCUCGAGAGGAACGCCAAUGGUGAAGACAGCUUUCUGGGUCAUUACUGACACUGAGACGCGAAGGCAUGGGUAGCAAACAGGAUUAGAUACCCUGGUAGUCCAU